rnacentral:lncRNA from 1 species
AAUGUUAGGUUCCCGUAUACAGAAAGUGUACAAAAAAGUAGAGAAACCUAGACCAAAAUAUGUUUCUCUGCAAAAGUUAUCCAGUUAUAUAUACACACAAGAACUCUUGGGUGUACCUAAAGGUAACUCGAGACACGAGGCUACAAAAUCUUUCUUGACCUCUUCAAACGCUCUCCUAUUCCUCCCCCUUCACAUUAUCCACAUAAGAGCUAGUAGUGCUACAUCCCAUGCACUGCAUCUUCUCUUCUUUCUUCUAAAACCGCAUGUAUAGUGGCUCCUUUACCAUGCUCGGCUCACCCAUUGUAUUACGAACCAAUUCAUAACCUCCCACCACAAGCAUGUAGCAACUUGACAAUGUUAUAAGAGGUUAUCUUACGUCUUCUCCCUGAACAUCUACACAUAUAAAAACAGUUGAAUUAUUCUUGUAGACAUUUAUGAUAGAGAGCAAAACAAAUAAGUGAACAACCUACUUACAGAAAAUGUAAAGGGCUGGUAAUUAGUCUUGUAUUUCGAAUUACUUGUGGUUGACUGUUAUUAUUGUAACUAGGCUGAAUUGAUUAUAAAAUGGAUGAUAGUAUGAGUUUUCUUUGACAAGGAUAACCAUGAUAGGGUCUUUCUAUCAAAAGGCAUUAGGUUGAAGGCUGCUAUAAAUGAAAUAUUUUAAAUUUCGAAGCUUGUUUAGUCAAAUUAUGACAUACCUUAGGCUUUAAAUAUGUGAUCUCAAUGACAUCUAACAUUUAUUUUAGCGCGAUGGUUAUGUUGCCAGUUUCUUUGGACUAUUUUUCCUUGAGCCGAGGAUCUAUUGGAAACAGUCUCUCUACCUCUGAGGUAGGGUAAGGUCUACGUACACUCUACCUACCCCAGACCCCACUUUGUGGGACUAUUUUGGGUAUGUUGUUGUUGUUGGUUAUGUUGCCAGUCUCUGUUAAGUAUUCAGUUCUGAGUUUUUGUUAAUGGAGGUGUCUAAUUUGUAUGGAAUCCAUUUCUUCUUUGUGUUACAUGAUAUAAAUGGCAUUAUCUUAUCGGAAUACCAGUUAGUUGUUGUGUUAUAUUGGUAACUAACUUGAUAAAAGAAGUUUGUUAUAUCGGUUGAUGGAAAUGACAUCAAAGACGAUUUAUUGUUAGUUUGUUUUAGUGGUGCAGGUCAUGUGAAGUAAUUGGGUCAUUUUUCUUACGUAAUCAUGGCGCAUAAUCUGCAACUUGUAUAAUUUUACUUUGAUGUGGUGGAUUCCAGAAUUUUAGGUGAAUACUCAAAGGUUCCCCUGAAGCCACAGCUAAGAAAAAGGUGCGGCGUCAUUGAUUCUUCCCCUGGUUACUUUUUUUGUUUGGAAAUUAAGAUGUUUGUCAAGCGAUUUCCUUAUAAGCACAAGUUGUUUGCCACAACUCAUGAAUAUUCUUGUUUCUGGUGAAGCUAUAGCAUUUCCGUAUUUUAGUACAUGGUAAGGAACUGUUUCAUUGCUACAGCAUGAUAGAAGAUAAGUUUUAAGAAUCAGUUUGAUGUGAGGCAUAAGAAAAAUAAUCUCUGCAAAAUUGUGAUUAUCAAUUGUUGGUUCCUAUGUAAUCAUACAUGUAUUCUUUUAUGUGGAAUAUCAAUACGCAUAUUAGUACCUUCAACCUUCAUAGUGUUGUGUUAUGUUCUUAGUUGAGUUUGUAUGAAUUCCAAGUUAUUUUAGGUCUUCAAAGAUAUUUUCCUUUGAUAUGUGAAUCGGUGAAUGUAUACCAUCUAUUUUUAGCACUCUUAACUAUCCCAACAUUGUGACAACAGAUUAGUUCAUUUGGAAGUCUCCGUGAGAUAAAUUGGUACCAUCUGUGAUGACCUCUCUCAUGUUAUGCUUUAUGCAAUGACACUUGCACCCUCUAGGGGAUGGGAUCAUUUCUAAUCAUGUCUAAUUUUGUAUGAUGAUAUAUCUAUCCUAACAUCUGUAUUUUGACGGCUCUUGUUGCCCAACAUUUACUUCUAUAUAAAUAAACUUUGUUGACCUUAGAAUUGGUCUGUAGAACUUUUUUGUCACUUUGAUAGAUUUCAUAUCGUAUUUUCUUCCACUUUUGUAGCGUUCCUCCGCUACAACCAUCCUAUUUUACUUCAAUAUAUUCAUCAAUCAAGUCGUUCUUCUAAAAUAUAUACAUUUAAUUAUUUUUUAAUUCGAUGAUAAAGCCAAUAUACAUUCCAAUAAAAUACUAGUGGACACCCCCCCCGCCCCCCCCAAAAAAAUAUUCUUUGCCUUGGCCAAUUCAAGUGGUUGAAUGAUAGCUUCAUUUAUUUUAUUUUAGUUUCUUUCUCUAGUUUAUUAUUUGUUUCAUGUCACUUUCCUUUGACUAAUUUGUUUCCCUUUUGUUUUUUUGGUAUCAUGUGAAUUCGCAUGGAGUCCAAGUUGAACUCAAAUCCUUUCCUCCGCAUUAUUGAAUGGGCCACUUAGGCCCGAAGCCUCUUCCGAGUCACCCUCUUCAUUAUCGAGUUCAAAAAAUAAAAAAAUGGAAGGCGAACAUGUGAAUUUCAAAUUGAAACCAAUAUUCAGGGCUGGAAAUUAAAUUACAGGCCUCCAAGAAGCCCAAAAGUGGGUUGUAUACAUUGAUACAGAAAUUCAAAGAAUUAAAACAGGUUACAGGGGCCCUAUACACUCAGUAUACAGAAAUUCAGCGUAUACAGGAAUUUUCAGGAACAAAAAUGGACCAGAGCCCAAUUUUUUUAAGACAGCAGGUCCAAGUAGCCAAAUGGCCCAAAGGACCCCCCCCCCCCCCCCCCCAAAAAAAAAAAAAAAACUGUUACAUCCUUGAGAGAAAGACUGCAAAGAAAUUAUCUAAUUCCCCUUUUCUAAGUCAUGCCAGAUGGAUACGUCUCCUGGUGUCGGAUAAUUUUUCUUUAUAAAUGGAUAUAAGGAGUACACAUCACAAUAGUCUAAAUUUUCACCAAAAGGUCUUAUGGACACUGGACCCUAUUUGGUUUUAGUAAUUACUUAGCAGAUUUUUCUUUUACUUUCAGUAGUUAAGAUAGUCAAACAUAAGCUAGUUAACCUACCGGUUUGAGUUUUCCUAUUGGCUGUAGGAAACUAUCAUGGUAAGUGAGACUACUUUAACCAAAAUGAAAUGAGUCAAUAAUAUGGAUACUGUUGGCAACACUUUCUGCUCAUUUCUUUGCUUGUGGAGAGAAUAUAUAACAGAACCCGAACUUGUUACUUUCCUAGAGUUGGUCUUUCAUUUAUGAUUUCUCAUAGAUCUUCAGGAUCUAACUUAAACAAAGGCACUUACGGAAGAAAAGAGGAAAUCGAGAAAUAAUCAAUGACUUUGUUAUCUUGUAUCCAUUGUCAUUUUUCCCUUGUCAGCAUAUUUGUCCGUAAGGGGUGACUAAAUCAAUGUUUGUUGCUCUUAUAAAAAAAAGGUCAAUGUUUGUUGCUCUUCAGCUAUUAAUUUCUGUGUUUCUUGAUUUUCUCCCCCUUCUUUGGUGCGGUUUUGUAUCUACUCUAAUUUUUAACUUAUCCUGUUGUUUUUAAGUGCAGUGAGUUUACAGAACAUGAGGUGGUCCCAAUGAGUACAGCAAUAGAAGGGCCAUCUGGACCGGCAUUUACCACCUCUACGGAUGGGUUUGGUGCUGAUGAUUCUUCCUUUAUGAACUUUUUCAAUGUAUGUACUAUAUACUCAACCUUCCUAUGAUAUUGAUGUAUAAUUUCCCGUCUAACAUCUUAAACUGUCAAGUUUAAAACUUUAGCAUCUGUUCAUGAACUUUAAACCGAAAAGAAGCUUCUGUUUAUUGCCAAAUGGUGUUAAGCCUCUGUCUACCUUAUUUGCUUUAUUUGUACAUUUCUACCUGUUGGCUUCUCCAGUCACUCAAUUUGUGCAGUGCAAUGUGUCAAAAUGCUGGCCCUUGAACAUUUUCUUAAAAUGUUGCCGCCUGAGAUUUUCUUGGUCAAAGAUUUUGUUAUAUUCUUGUAACAACUUGUAAUGCAUGUAUAUUCUUUGAUCAUUUACAGAUACCAUACAUUACCAGGAUAUAUGUUUGAAUAAGCCUAACAUUUUCAUGCAUGCCUUCGUUAGGUGAUUUAAUUGCGUAUGCACCCCCUUUCCCAAAAACAAAAAUUCAUGAGGAACACUGUUCUAUCCCGGGAAUUUGAGGGAAACAUUUAUGUCCAAAAGAGAUGACUAUGGGUUGACUAAUGAUGAUCAUGAUACCAAGUGGAUGGAAAUGAAUAUGAGAAAUCAUAGUAUGGAAUCUUUUCUGUGAGGAAUAUAAAAUUCCCUAGGAUCCAAGAAUUUAUUCUCUAUUGCUAACUGAAACUGUUUGAGGGCUUCACUUGGAGACUAGCAUGUUUUGAAGAAAACGAGGUUAUACGGAAGCUGGCUUUUCUGAGAUAGUGUAGUUAGGGGAAAAAAAUGCAUCUUUUUCUUCAGGAUAUGAGUGAGGCUGCAUUAGUAGAUGAAUGCAUCAUGGAAGAUCAAUAAGAAUGUCUUCUAGUGUAGUAAACAUUGGCUUUAAAAUACUGGGCAGCCUGCCCCUACUGCCCGUCCUCCUUGGGGUGUAGAAAAGUCCUGAGAUUUAAUUUUGUUGUUGCAGACUGCUGCAACUAUUGGGCAUACCCCUUCAACUGUUGUGAACUCCGGACUGCCAUAUCAUUAUCCAGUUCAAACUGUUGAUCCAUCAACCCGAGUUCCAAGUCCCCUACCAUCUCCUGCUCCAAUUUUGCAAAUCUCAUUACCUGUUCAGUCAGCUCCAUCACUUCCUCCACCGUCACGCCGUGAUUCUGCUAACCUGAUCUAUAGUACUAAUUACCCUGCAAAUCUUGUGAAGCCUUCUUUCUUUACACCUCCUGCGUCACCUGUAUUGGUGACAACUUCUGUCUCCUCAGCUACAUCAACUCCCGCCCGUUAUCCUCAUGUGAAUCCACAACGCCCACAUGGUACACCUCUAGUUCAACCCUUCCGACCACCUACUUCGCCUCCAUUUCUCACUUCUACUCAGAUUCCUCCACAAAGUGUGACACUAAGCAGAGAGAAAGUUCAAGACGUGCUUCUAAUGCUUGUUCAGGUAUAUCCAGCCAUCCAGGAUUUAAUUUAUGUACUCUGCCUGCUAUUUGGAUGACUACAACUGUGUUAAUUAAUUAUAUAUUGUCAUUGCUGGGUGCGUCUUUUGUGUACUUGAACAGUAAUUGAAUUCCAUUCAACUGCAUAAAUCUUGAUCAUUUUAUCCAUAAAAUUUGUGGACAUGACAUAUUAUCGAAACUGCUUCUUUGCAAACACAUUCAGAUUUUGGAGGGUUCAACAUUUGUAACUUCAAUCUGACUUGUGUUUACAAUCAAAGGAUCCUUGUAAAUUUCUUUAUCAAGAUCUCUAGGGUUUUAUGUUUUAUUUAGUUAAGUAGUUACUAAAAUUUUUGGUUAAAUAAUUAAAAUUUAAAAGAUAUCUGUUAUGUUGUAGAGUUACAUCCUAGGUGGCUUGUUUAAAUUUUUAACUUUUACUGAUGAAGCAUCAGUUAGUAUAAGAUGCCCUGUCAAAUUAAUUCUUGGUUUUGACUUCAUAUUUCUUCUAAUGUGCAAUUUCCUUGUCAAUGUUUAGAGAGCUAUGGUACCCAUCUGCUGUCUAAACAAGUGAAAAGUUUAUUGUAAAGAGUCUCCCUAAGUUCUGGAUCUCAUUUUCAAUUGGAUCUAUUUUACACGUAAUCUCAAGCUUGACUUGUAACUUUGCACAUUGCACACCAGCGUAUUCCUGAAAAUACUGAAAAAUGUUUGACCAACCAUUAGUGAAUGGUUGAGAAUGAUCAUGAUAGAUUUUAGUAAUUGUAUCAUUGUUGUUUCAUCAAUAACAUGCAGCUCACAUACAGGAUAUUUUCUGAAUUUUCUAUUAUUGAAGAAAAAAUGACUCUUUUCUUAAUUUUUUUGCAGGACAAUCAGUUUAUCGACUUGGUCUACCAAAAGUUGCUUAAUGCACAUUCAUGAUUCCUUGAGAAGUGUGGUGAUGUUGUAAAUCUGGCACCAUGUAUAAGUAGUUUGUACAUAUUUGUUUCUUGUGCUGGGGAUUUGGACCUAUCUUCUUUUCACCUCAUGAGGAGAUUGACUAGACCUAUGACUUGAUGUAAUAUAUGAAACUUGGACAAUCCUCAACCAAUCCUGAUGAAAGUCUAUGAACAAGUGAAUAUCGAUAACGGCAAACCUUUAAACAUUUCUGUAAAUUCUAUGCAGAGUUUUGAUAGAAUUUGGUGGACAUCAUGGCUUUGGUCUGUGGAAUCAUUGAUGUUCACCAAGUUUGGUUUUCAUUCAACUGUUAAGAUGCAUUGAUACGAGCAGAAUGAUUAUGUUCUUCAUUUGCUGCAUGCAUGAACUGUCUCACGACUUUCACAACAUUAGCUAUAUGUGGCUUGACAGAUACAUUAAUCUCCCAACUAGCCUUUGAUACCAAACAAUAUUUGUUUCCUCAGUGUAAUCUCAAAAGUGGGGUUUAGGGAACGUAUAUGUAGACCUUAACCCUACCUUUUGGGUAAAGAUUUCAGAACUUGAUCAGGCAAAAUCUUAAGCAUAUGAUUUAUUUCUGUUCGAGUGUUUAUAUUGGUUUGCACGCAAAUAUUCCAGUUUUCAGCCAAUAUAUUUAACAUUGGCAUGUAAACUGUGAUAUCAGUAUUGUUUACAUUUGUACAUCAACCAUCUACUAGUUUAAUCUUUGUUUAGGUAAAAUAGAAUUCAUCCCGAUUAGAUUCACCAUCUCUUUGUUUGCAAGAAAAUCUGGGUUUGCCCCAAGUUCUGGUCAUCAAUAUACUUGAUACUAGAGAAUCGUGAGAAAUUUUAAAAUUAAUCUGUAAAAAAAAUAAAAAAUUAUCUUGCAUUGAUGUAACUUCUAAACGAAUUCAUAUUACCUAAACUGAAAUAAAUCGUAGCUGGAAGUUUCACAAACUUUUUUUCUGCAAAAUUGACAGUUGUCACAAUUUUGACAAUACCAAGGUCAGUAAAAGUUGAGAAAAUGUAGUUCUGAAAAGUGAAAACACAAAAAAUAAUGUAACAACAGCCUAAACUGAAAUCAGGUAGAUAAACUUCAUUGAGCAUUCAAAAGUCGUUUUGUAGCUGACUAGAGUUAUGCAAUAAAAUAAUAUAUAGAUUUUCUCAUACCUUAUACAUGUGUUGGUUAUGCAGUUUUUGAAAUUGUCAACCAAAUGUCAUUUUAAUUUUAUACAUGAAUAACUUAUUUCCUAUCUAUCUAUCAAAUGUUGUAUAAGUUGUACGGAAACUAAUACAUGGAUAACUUGUUUCGUACCCAUCUACCAAAUGAAUUUACCUUCACAUUAGAUUCUUUGAACCAUCUGUGUUCUCAGUAUCAUACCAACAACAUACAACUUUCAUAGAAUCUUCAAGGCAGCUACCUAAGAAACUUUGAACUUUUAGCAUUGAUUUGACACAACCAAGUUGAAGUGGACAUUCUGAAGCCAAAACAUUAUCAUAAUCCCAUGAUAAUGAUGAAUGUAAUUCAAUCACAUAAAGACAACAAAGACAGAUCUUCAAAAAAAUUACAAGAUUCUUCCAUCUUCCUUUUUUCUCCAGUCCAUCUACUCCAACUAUUGAGUGUUCAUGCUGCAGAAUAUUUACCACUUCGCAUCAAGGGAAGUUGUUUCCUUACCAAGCACCGAAAUUAAUAGAUUGAAGCGAAAUAUAACCAAGAAGUAGAUCCUUCAGAUGAUGUUUACACAACCCAAGUCGCCUUCUAUGUAAACUGGGAUGGAUACAAUUAGAAAAUCCAGUCUUCCAACCAGGGAAUCUUUGUCUUUCCAUCACGUGAAGAGUGUAUACACGAGGAGCUGCAGCUGAACAUCCUAUAACAAAGCAAUUGCAAGGACGUGACUGACUCACCAUUCUUGCUAAAGAGAAUAAACAUAUUCCACUGUAUGUUAUUCCAUACAUUAAGGCGUCAUUAUCAACAGCUUCGGAAUUUGUUGCUUCACUGGUUAUCUCAAGCUCCAGAUCUUCAGUUGCAGGAAUUCUGCGCAAUUCAGAAUCAAAUUUCUUCUCUAUCUCACUCUCAUGGAUCCUAUAUUUCAUCGCCAGAGUUCUGAUGCAAGACAACCUUACUUGAUUGCAAAUAAUGAGCUUUACCUCAUUAAAGUUGUCACACUCGGUGUACCAUCUCUGCCACCGGCAGAUUAAACCUGCAUACCAGUCAACAAUUUCAUUGUCAUCCCAAAAAACUAGCAGAUGACAUGGCUGGGAAUAACCUUUGGAGUUUGUCAAUCCAUAUCGAAAAAGCCGCUUCUUUAUGAUGCUGAUUGGAGCUAUGAUCUGUGUCGUAAAUGAUGAACAGUUGGAGUUUGGCAACAGGGCAAGAGUCGAAGCUGUCUCAGAAGAUAUAUAUUCCUGAACACGCUUCUGGAACUCAUAAUAUGAAUCUCUUAGAUCUUGAGGGAGAGCUGGUUCAACUAUAUGUUUAGAUAAGAUAACAUCCUCGUUCGUUUCGCAUUUAACCUUUUUAUUUUGCAUCCAAACUUUUAGUAAGACUUUGUACCAAUGAUCUGUUUCCAUCCCAUCUUUUCUAAAACAAGAAAUUUGGGUCAAAAGGGAGCUACCAUCAGAGAGAUGCUUAAUCUCUGAUUCUUUUACCUUCUUCAACCCAUGAGCCAGCCAUUUCUUUCCAAUUCUUGCUGUCCCAGUGUCCCACGAGUGCUCUUUCUGUGAAGCAAAUAAUUCUACUUUUUCCUUCAAUUUGUGAACGGCCUUUACAGCCGGACUCUCUUUCAGGCUUCUUUUAACCACACUACCCAGAAAGCGAAUGUCAGUAGGCCCAUCACAUGGAAAAACAUCUAUUUCACUUUCAAAUUCUAAAUAAAGAGAAUUCUUAAAGUAAUUUUCAGUUUCAGACUUGAUAGCAACAGCCACGUCUUUGGGACCAGAGAUGGCAAUAAGAAUCUCAUCCAUGAAGCGGCAACAAUGCACCCUAAUUUCAGAGUAGCCCAAAUCAUGGCAUUCUUGAGAACCAUUACCAGAUAUCUGUCUCCUGAACCAACUGCGUAACACAGAGUUGGGCGCACUUUCUUCAGCGCUUGAUCCUUUAUCAAUAGCUUCAUAUCUCAUUGACAACCUGUACAUUUCAUGAUCAAAUAGAUCAAGAUAUAUGUUCAUUAAAAUUGGAGACAAUGCUCCUUCUUGUGGGAGACCAUGUCCUUUUGGAAAGCCCCCAAAUUCUAAAUUCAAUACUCCACAGUCAAACAUACUACGUAUUAUCAUAUAUAGGAAAGGAUCAUCUAUCUUGUCUUCCAUAACUGAAAAGAGCUUAGCUAGGAUUUGAUUGUCAAGCUUUCUGCAAACUGGCAAGGUGAACCACCACUUUGGAUCAAUUAUCUCUUUGCGAAUGUACUUAAGAGCAGAUAAAUGGCUCCUACCACUACGACAACCGUGCGAUAUCUUAGAAAAGUGAGGUCGGUAGACAACUUCUAAAACUAUUCUGAUUGCUUCCUCAACAACUUUGAGUUUAACAUUUGGAAAGACAAGGACUUCUUUCUUUGCGCCCUUAGUUGAGAUCGAAUAUGUGUUAGCACUAACAUCAAAACAUCCACAAGAAAGCUCUUCAGCCAUGGCUUCAAAAGGCAAAUCCUCGCCAUUUGAUGCUAGAUCAACAUUAGAACUCAAUCGAAUACAAUCAUAAGCAUCACAAAGUGUUUUUGGAUUGGCAACCACUUUCUUUAUGAGGUUUUGAAACUUCCCGUUUACAUACUGUUCCUUAACUCUCUUUUUUAUGCGUAGUUCAAGUAAUCUUUUAUGUUCCACACGAUUCAUAGGUUUAGACUCAUCAAGAUUAUAAGACUCUUCCACCAAGUUCGCUAAGUUUUGUGCCAGCGACGCUCCAUGUUUCACACCUCCCGAAUUCUCAACCGACUUCUCAACCAUAGGCCCCAAUCUCUUAGAUACUUGGGAUUUUUUCUCCUCUAAGUUCAAAGAUUCCUGAACCAAACCGGCUAGGUCCUGAGCUAGUUUUAGUUUGCCAAUCUUCUCAUCACGAGUAUGACAUCCAACUUGACUAGCAUUAGAAUGAAGUGAAUAACCAAAAAAUCCUACAACAGGCCUCCCUGUCACAUUUAACCAAGAUUACAAACAGAUGAAUUCUUCCUAAUGACCUUAAUUCUAUAAUACAAAUGAAGAAGAGUACUUUAUACAUAUAGGUGUGUUUGUAUGGCUAGAAAAAUAUUUUUCAAAAUGAAUUAUUUUCCGGUAUUUGGUAUUUCAGCAAAAACGGAGAAAAUGCAUUCCUUCACAAAUAGGCAGACGUCAUUUCCUUUCCAAAUAUUCCAACUUUUACUCCAUAUUAACCAACAAAGUGAGAUGCUUUUUCAAUCUUUAGUACCAAAAAAUGUCACCAAAAUACUUUUCCAUACAUAUCCUCCAAUCUUCCACCUUGUAUGAAUAUCAUAUGAUGCUGAGCCAGGAUUUUCAUUAAACGGGUUCAAAAUCAAGUAACAUAUGAACUAGCCAAGCGAGUUCGACAUCUACCAUAUAUACAUAAAAAAAAAUUAAAAAAAAUUAACAAUGUAUAAAUAGUACUCCGUCCGUCCCAUUUUACGUGGCACUUUUUGGAUUUCAAGUCUAGCUUUGACCGUAAGUUUUUCAUAGAUAUUUUAAACAUUUUGAAUUAUCAAUUAUUGUGACUUAUAGUACUUUUUACGUAAUGUACAAAUAUAUAAAUUUCAUUUAAAUUUUUUUUGAAGAUUCUAUGCACAAAUUUCCAAUCAAACUUAAACCAUUGCUCGAAAAUGAAAAGUGUCACAUAAAUUGGAACGGAGGAAAUUCCGCCCAAUAACAACAACAUGGCCAGUGAAAUCUCACAUAGGAUGAGUAACACUUAAAACCUUGGGGUAAAAGAAGAUUAUAUGAAUUAAUUUCUAUAUACAUAUAUAAAAAAAAGGAAUAGUGGAAAGAGCAUUACCAAUACCAGAAGAAGAAUUGCGGCCGAGAAAGUGAAGACUUCGGAGAAGAGAAGUACAUUUAUGGGCCAUAUUAUACAGUCCGAACGGAGACUGAGAAACAAAAGGAAAGAGAAGGGAAUAAGGGCUCGUUUGCACAUAACUUUUCUU